rnacentral:siRNA from 1 species
UUGAAAUCAGAGUAAGGGUCG